rnacentral:lncRNA from 1 species
GGCUUAUAGAGAUAGACUGCGCCGUCCGUGCACCAGGUUGAAGCCCUAAUUAGAAAGAGAAAGUGACAGCGGGAGUCCGACCUGUCUGUUCCACGAUCGAAAAAGUGGGACCGUCACCAUAUGACCGUCACAAGAUGGCUGCAAAAAUGACUGGUUUAUGUCCACUUGACCAAAAUGGCCGCGGCUAACGCGUGAGUCGUAAUUGUGAAUUCUAACCUAUCUCACCUACAACCUACAUGUCUUGUGGCGUUUGCUUCAGCAAGAAUAACAGAGUCGUUGAUUGCAAAUUGGAUGCAGGAAUCGCGUACUGUAUUUCAAGGCGACAGAAACAGAGGUUAUCAUCCCGAUCAUACGUCUCAAAAAACUGAUUCAGAAGACUUUCAUUGCCGGAGGACUUGUGCCAAAAAAAAAAACUGCAAGUUUUCAAUUGCCGCUACUGUGGUAAAAACUACGCAUAUCACGUCACAAGGAUGGCAGAGCAUCUGAAACGUUCGUAUGUGAGCUGCUGUUUGUCAGUAAAGAAUGUUUUGAAAAAUAAGAAUUCACCGAAUUCGAAAAAGAAACGGAAGAAAAGACGCAAGUCACAGAGUUCUUCCAGCAGCAAAAAGAAUUCGUCAAUCACUAAUUGCAGCUCGGAGUCUAACGCUGAUGUUAAAUCCGUAACAAACAUCAGCGAUAAAACUGAAAUUUCGUGUAAAUCUGGUACUCGUGCAUCUAGUACUUCUGAUUUCUGAGAGGAAGCAUCAGUGUUUCGAGGAAAAAAUGAACUAAUAACGUCACACAUGGCUAAAUUCUGUGAUAGAAUGUCAAAACUCGAACAGGGACGCCUUAAUGAACUUCUCGCUGUGACUAUAUAUACUUCAGCAACUGCUCUCAAUAUAACCCAAAGUGUAUUUUGGCAGGACUUCUUCGGAGCUUUGCGUCCAUCCUAUAAGUUGCCGUCAAGGUAUGAAAUUUUCCAAUACUUCAUUGACUGCAUCGUAUGAUAGAGUAAAACGAGAUGUUGACGAAAAAGUUCAGAUUACUGAUUCUGUUGGAUUGAAAUGCGACGGGUGGUCCAAUAUACGUAACGAAGGAAUAAUCAACUUCAUCGUUACGGCUCCUGGUAUAGUAUUUUUUAACGAUUGCGACAACAACUAAUGCUCAGACUGCGGAAUAUAUUGCUAAACAAAUUAGCGAAGUCAUUGAUGUUAUCGGACCAUAAAAGUUACUUGGAGUUUGUACUGAUAACGCAGCCACGAUGAAAUGUACCUGGAGAAUACUGCAGGGCCAGUAUCAGGAGCUCGAUAUCACUUUCUACAGCUGCGUCACUCACAUUUUAGAUCUCUUAAUCAAAGACACGAUGUUUCAACCGUCAAUUGACAAACUCGCGACGAAUGGAACAGCAAUCGUCAAAGAAAUUAAAGAUAAACACAUAGUAUCAGCCACAUUUGCCGAGAUUCAACAGCAAGACCAAAACAAUAUCUCAACAACUCUUAAGCUUCCGGUCAAGACAAGACUUGGGUCUCUGCUUUUCUGUGUGGAAAGUUUGCUAGAAAAUAAGCAUAAUCUGCAAGCUUUAGCAAUUUCUCAAAAUGCGGAUCGCCAUUUCAAUGCUUUAAUAAAAAAUAUUAUCUUGGGAGAGGAGUUUUGAUUCAUGACGUUCAAGACUUUGCGUUUGCUCAAACCCGUGGGAAAAUGGAUCACAACGUUGGAAGGAGACAAUCCUAAACUAAGCCUAGUCCCCGAAACUUUCUACGAGCUGAGGAAUCACUUCGCUAAGGAGCUUAAAGAAUCUUGUCUACGCGUACUGACAGAUGUCGAGACAAAAGAAAUGUUUUCUUUAUUCGACAAACGAUGAAGCAUGGUGAUCAAUCAAGUUGACUUUGCUGCGAAUAUUCUCGACCUAGUCUUGAAAGGUCAACAUUUAAGCGACGAUGAUUCGGUGGAUGGGAUUGCCCUCAUCUUCGAGUUAGCAAAUAAAUUCGGAUUGGAUCAAAAUAAACUUCAUCAAGAAUUGACUGAGUUCACAACGAAUACGGGAAUUUUGAGUCAAGAGUAUAUACGAAGAGCUAUUUCUAUAACUUCGGCACAAAAGUGGUGGAAGGCCAUGUGCGACACUACAAAGCUCAGUAGAAUUGCUAGUAGAAACCUAUUCUCGACUUGCCAGCUACAUCAGCUGGUGCGGAACGGUCCUUUAGCACCUUUGGGUGAAUUCAUUCUUCUAAAAGAAAAAGACUUUCGACUGAACGAGGCGCGAUGAUAACUUAUAUAGCCCACAAUUUAGAACUUUUACAUCCGAGACGUAAAAAAAAAAAACAAAAAAAUGAGGAAGACAUUGUAUCAGCCACUGAGAAAGAGUUUUCUGCUGAUGACAAUCUUGACACACACGAGGGA